ensembl:snRNA U1 U1 spliceosomal RNA
GUACUUAGCCUGACAAUGGAGAUUCCAGAAUCAUGAAGUGGUUUCCUCAGGGCAAGGUUCUUUUACUAUACUUGGGGUAUGUUGACUCCUAUGAGUCCCCCAAAUCCUAGAAACUUUAUAAUUUGUGGUAGUAGGGGGACUACAUUCAUGCUGCCCCUUC